CAGUAGCCACGGGAAAACGAAGGGGGCUAGCGUUGCUCGGAAUGACUGGGCGUAAAGGGCGCGUAGGCGGCGGCCAAAGUCAGGCGUGAAAUUCCCGGGCUCAACCUGGGGGCUGCGUUUGAUACUUGGUUGCUUGAGUGGAGAAGAGGGUCGUGGAAUUCCCAGUGUAGAGGUGAAAUUCGUAGAUAUUGGGAAGAACACCGGUGGCGAAGGCGGCGACCUGGUCCUUUACUGACGCUCAUGCACGAAAGCGUGGGGAGCAAACAGGAUUAGAUACCCCAGUAGUCCCUGUCUCUUAUAC
rnacentral:rRNA from 1 species